ACGGCUCAGUAACACGUGGAUAACCUGCCCUUGGGUCCGGCAUAACCCCGGGAAACUGGGGAUAAUUCCGGAUAACGCACAUAUGCUGGAAUGCUUUAUGCGUAAAAUGGAUUCGUCUGCCCAAGGAUGGGUCUGCGGCCUAUCAGGUAGUAGUGGGUGUAAUGUACCUACUAGCCAACAACGGGUACGGGUUGUGAGAGCAAGAGCCCGGAGAUGGAUUCUGAGACAUGAAUCCAGGCCCUACGGGGCGCAGCAGGCGCGAAAACUUUACAAUGCGGGAGACCGUGAUAAGGGGACACCGAGUGCCAGCAUCAUAUGCUGGCUGUCCAGGUGUGUAAAAUACACCUGUUAGCAAGGGCCGGGCAAGACCUGUGCCAGCCGCCGCGGUAACACCGGCGGCCCGAGUGGUGAUCGUGAUUAUUGGGUCUAAAGGGUCCGUAGCCGGUUUGGUCAGUCCUCCGGGAAAUCUGACGGCUCAACCGUUAGGCUUCGGGGGAUACUGCCAGGCUUGGAACCGGGAGAGGUAAGAGGUACUACAGGGGUAGGAGUGAAAUCUUGUAAUCCCUGUGAGACCACCUGUGGCGAAGGCGUCUUACCAGAACGGGUUCGACGGUGAGGGACGAAAGCUGGGGGCACGAACCGGAUUAGAUACCCGGGUAGUCCCAGCCGUAAACGAUGCUCGCUAGGUGUCAGGCAUGGCGCGACCGUGUCUGGUGCCGCAGGGAAGCCGUGAAGCGAGCCACCUGGGAAGUACGGCCGCAAGGCUGAAACUUAAAGGAAUUGGCGGGGGAGCAC
rnacentral:rRNA from 1 species